AAGUGUCAAUUACACGAAACUGCGUGAGCUAAUUAUUACAAGAUAUUAUGUAACAUAAUAAUAAUUUGAGUGAUAAUUAGGGGUGAUAGGCCUACCAAGCGUAAGAUAUCUUGAUUCUUAUGAUAUGUAAUAGUACAUCGACAAGUUAAGAGUUAUAAGGCUCUUAAAGAUAAUUAAAUUUAUUUAACGUAACCAGUUGGCUUAAUCGCCUACAUUUAUUAUAAUAUAAUAUAAAUAAUAAAUUGAUUAUUUAAAUUAAUAAGACUCAAUAAAUUUUAAACUAUGAUAAUAAUGUUUUCAUAAGUAUUAUGAAGUUAUUAAUAGUGAACUCGGCAUUUUGCUUUCAACUGUUUAUCAAAAACAUAGCCGCGUGUAUUUACACGCGGUGAUUUCUGCUCAAUGAGAUUUAAAUAGCCGCAGUACCCUGACUGUGCAAAGGUAGCGUAAUCAUUUGUCUUUUAAUUGGAGUCUUGAAUGAAAGAACAUAUGGGGGCAACCUUUACCAUUAAUAAUUCGAGAAAUUACUUAGUGGGUGCAAAAUCCCACGAUUAAUUAAUAGACGAGAAGACCCUAGAAAUUUAUUAAAAACAUUUUGUUGGGGCAACAUAGUAGCAAAUAACCUACUAUAUGUAUAUGACUAAAUAAAGAAAAAAAAAAUUACUCUAGGGAUAACAGCAUAAUUUAUAAAUGUUUGUGACCUCGAUGUUGGAUUAGGGAGUUGUUGUUUAGA
rnacentral:rRNA from 1 species